AUUUAAAUAGCUUAAGCAUAGGGUGUAGUAUUGAAGAUACUGAGGUAGUCAUAGACUUUUAAAUA
rnacentral:tRNA from 1 species